rnacentral:rRNA from 1 species
UACGGGGGGGGCAAGCGUUGUUCGGAAUUACUGGGCGUAAAGCGCACGUAGGCGGCUUUUUAAGUCAGGGGUGAAAUCCCGGGGCUCAACCCCGGAACUGCCCUUGAAACUGGAGAGCUAGAAUCUUGGAGAGGCGAGUGGAAUUCCGAGUGUAGAGGUGAAAUUCGUAGAUAUUCGGAAGAACACCAGUGGCGAAGGCGACUCGCUGGACAAGUAUUGACGCUGAGGUGCGAAAGCGUGGGGAGCAAACAGG